CCUACGGGCGGCUGCAGUGAGGAAUAUUGGUCAAUCGCCGGAAGGCUGCACCAGCCAUGCCGCGUGAAGGUCAGUGCCCUAUGGGCGUUAAACUUCUUUUGUGCGGGAGCAAUAAUGGUCACGUGUGGCCAGACGAUAGUACCGUACGAAUAAGCAUCGGCUAACUCCGUGCCAGCAGCCGCGGUAAUACGGGGGAUGCAAGCGUUAUCCGGAUUUAUUGGGUGUAAAGGGCGUGUAGGCGGGGACGCAAGUCAGAUGUGAAAACCACGGGCUCAACCUGUGGCCUGCAUUUGAAACUGUGGUUCUUGAGUACUGGAGAGGCAGACGGAAUUCCUAGUGUAGCGGUGAAAUGCGUAGAUAUUAGGAGGAACACCAGUGGCGAAGGCGGUCUGCUGGACAGCAACUGACGCUGAGGCGCGAAAGCGUGGGGAGCAAACAGGAUUAGAUACCCCUGUAGUC
rnacentral:rRNA from 1 species